CGAGGCCGGCGGCCCGGGCUUUGGGGCCGGGGACGGGCAGCAGGUCCACGGACCAGACGUACUCCACGGUCGGCUCCACUCCCGGUGGGGGAGCGGGCGACGGCGACGGUAGGCGCCGUGGAAAGCAGCUUGGCGGCCUUCUUGGGGCGCUGGUCCGCCACGGCGGCCGGCAACGCGUUGUCCAGCGCGCGGAGCGCCAUGGGUGGGAUGCUGAGAUUGAGAGGGAGGAGGAGAUUGAGAGGGAGAACGAGAUAUUUGGAGGAGGGCUUGGGUGAUGCGGGUGAUGCAGAUGGAAAAAGCAGGGG
rnacentral:rRNA from 1 species